GACAGAGGUCCCGAGCGUUAGGCGGAAUCACUGGGCUUAAAGCGUGUGUAGGCGGAUCGGUAAGUACCUUGUGAAAUCCCACGACUCAAUCGUGGAACUGCUUGGUAUACUGCCAGUCUUGAGGCACUCAGGGGCGAGCGGAACAGAUGGUGGAGCGGUGAAAUGCGUAGAUAUCAUCUGGAACGCCAAUGGUGAAGACAGCUCGCUGGGGGUGUUCUGACACUGAGACACGAAAGCCAGGGGAGCAAACGGG
rnacentral:rRNA from 1 species